ACAAAUUAUUAACUUAGGUUUAUCAACCCAAAUGUAGCCUAAUUUAAUAAAAUCAUAUUACUGUUACAGAUCCUGUUUCCUGAGCCACAUUAGAAUUCCGAAGACAUGACUUGGGACUAGUAUCUGUGAAAUAAAUUGGAGUACUCCUAUAAAGGCUGUUUUAAGACUGAAAUUUGCAGUAACAUUCUGAAUUUCUAACCAUCAAAAAGUCUUAAACUGGACAGAAGAAUUGACCUUCAAGAUUCAAGGAUUAGACUCACAGAAACCUCAAGAAAGCCAAUCUUUCAUCUCACAAAGGUAGAGAAAAAGAA
rnacentral:lncRNA from 1 species